rnacentral:rRNA from 1 species
UUUUAUUAGAUAUCCUUAAUUAUCAAAUCUGCUCCAUGAACCUUUAAUAGCCGCAUAAUUUGUGCUAAGGUAGCCUUAUAAUUUUUCUUUUAAUUGAAGACUAGAACAAAUGAUUAAACAUUUUAAUUAAUUUCUUUAAUUUAUUAACUAGAAAUUUUUCUAAAUGCUAAAAACCAUUUAUAAAAAAAAAAGACGACAAGACCCUAUUGAACUUAACUGAAGUUAAGCUGGGGCAGCUAAUUAUUUAUUAUUUUAAUUUAAAUAAAAUUAUUAUAAUCCAAUACAAUUGAUAAUAAGUUACCAUAGGGAUAACAGCGUAAUAUAAUUCUAAAGAUCUUAUUUAAAAUAUAAUUGGCGACCUCGAUGUUGAAUAAUUUCCUAACCUUUAAAGCAAAAAUUAGUAAAGGAAGUCUGUUCGACUUUUAAAAAAUUACA